UGUGAACAUACCUAUACGUUGCCUCGGCGGAUCAGCCCGCGCCCCGUAAAACGGGACGGCCCGCCGCAGGACCCACAAACCCUGAAUUUUAUUGUAACUUCUGAGUUUAAAAAACAAAUAAAUCAAAACUUUCAACAACGGAUCUCUUGGUUCUGGCAUCGAUGAAGAACGCAGCAAAAUGCGAUAAGUAAUGUGAAUUGCAGAAUUCAGUGAAUCAUCGAAUCUUUGAACGCACAUUGCGCCCGCCAGUAUUCUGGCGGGCAUGCCUGUUCGAGCGUCAUUUCAACCCUCAAGCCCCCGGGUUUGGUGUUGGGGAUCGGGCUGCGGUUCUACCGCGUCCCGGCCCCGAAAUCUAGUGGCGGUCUCGCUGCAGCCUCCAUUGCGUAGUAGCUAACACCUCGCAACUGGAACGCGGCGCGGCCAAGCCGUUAAACCCCCAACUUUCUGAAUGUUGACCUCGGAUCAGGUAGGAAUACC
rnacentral:rRNA from 1 species